rnacentral:rRNA from 1 species
UUCCGGUUGAUCCUGCCGGAGGUCACUGCUAUUGGGAUUCGGCUAAGCCAUGCAAGCGGAGGGCGCGGUCGAAAGAUCGUGGCCCCGCACACUGCUCAGUAACACGUAGUCAAUCUACCCUUGGGACGGGGACAACCUCGGGAAACUGAGGCUAAUCCCCGAUAGGUGAGGGACGCUGGAAUGCCUCCUCGCCCAAAGCUCCGGCGCCCAAGGAUGGGACUGCGGUCUAUCAGGCUGUUGGCGGUGUAACGGACCACCAAACCUACGACGGGUACGGGCGAUGGGAGUCGGAGCCCGGAGAUGGGGACUGAGACAAGGCCCCAGGCCCUACGGGGCGCAGCAGGCGCGAAAACUCCGCAAUGCGCGCAAGCGUGACGGGGGAAUCCCAAGUGCCGUUGGUCUUAUGAUCGACGGUUUUUAGGAAGUCUAAGAAGCUUCCAGAAUAAGGGCUGGGCAAGACUGGUGCCAGCCGCCGCGGUAACACCAGCAGCCCAAGUGGUGACCACGAUUAUUGGGCCUAAAGCGCUCGUAGCCGGAUCAGCAAGUCCCUUGUGAAAUCGGGCCGCCUAACGGUUCGGCGUGCAAGGGAUACUGUUGGUCUUGAGGCCGGGAGAGGUCGGAGGUACUCCUGGGGUAGCGGUGAAAUGCUCUAAUCCUAGGGGGACCACCAGUGGCGAAGGCGUCCGACCAGAACGGACCUGACGGUGAGGGGCGAAGGCUAGGGGAGCGAACGGGAUUAGAUACCCCGGUAGUCCUAGCUGUAAAGCAUGCGGGCCAGGUGUCUAGCGCUCCUUGAGGGCGCUAGGUGCCGGAGGGAAGCCGUUAAGCCCGCCGCCUGGGAAGUACGGCCGCAAGGCUGAAACUUAAAGAAAUUGGCGGGGGAGCACCACAAGAGGUGGGACCUGCGGUUCAAUUGGAAUCAACGCCGGU